UACAGAGGGUGCGAGCGUUGUCCGGAAUCACUGGGCGUAAAGGGCGCGUAGGCGGUCCGGUAAGCGGGCGGUGAAAGCUCGGGGCUCAACUCCGAGUCGGCCGUGCGAACUGUCGGACUCGAGCACAGUAGAGGCAGAUGGAAUUCCGGGUGUAGCGGUGGAAUGCGUAGAGAUCCGGAAGAACACCGGUGGCGAAGGCGGUCUGCUGGGCUGUGGCUGACGCUGAGGCGCGACAGCGUGGGGAG
rnacentral:rRNA from 1 species